rnacentral:rRNA from 2 species
UGGACGCAAGUCUGAUGGAGCAACGCCGCGUGAGUGAAGAAGGCUUUCGGGUCGUAAAACUCUGUUGUUGGAGAAGAAUGGUCGGCAGAGUAACUGUUGUCGGCGUGACGGUAUCCAACCAGAAAGCCACGGCUAACUACGUGCCAGCAGCCGCGGUAAUACGUAGGUGGCAAGCGUUAUCCGGAUUUAUUGGGCGUAAAGCGAGCGCAGGCGGUUUUUUAAGUCUGAUGUGAAAGCCCUCGGCUUAACCGAGGAAGUGCAUCGGAAACUGGGAAACUUGAGUGCAGAAGAGGACAGUGGAACUCCAUGUGUAGCGGUGAAAUGCGUAGAUAUAUGGAAGAAUACCAGUGGCGAAGGCGGCUGUCUGGUCUGUAACUGACGCUGAGGCUCGAAAGCAUGGGUAGCGAACAGGAUUAGAUACCCUGGUAGUCCAUGCCGUAAACGAUGAAUGCUAGGUGUUGGAGGGUUCCCGCCCUUCAGUGCCACAGCUAACGCAUUAAGCAUUCCGCCUGGGGAGUACGACCGCAAGGUUGAAACUCAAAGGAAUUGACGGGGGCCCGCACAAGCGGUGGAGCAUGUGGUUUAAUUCGAAGCAGCGCGAAGAACCUUACCAGGUCUUGACAUCUUUUGAUCACCUGAGAGAUCAGGUUUCCCCUUCGGG